CUUAAUCAAAGUGUAGUAUCUGUUCUUUUCAGCUUAAUAUCUGAAAGUUUCCUCAUUGAGGGACCAGUAUAUUAAACUGAUUUUUGUAAAACGACGAGAUGUUCGGGGCUCGCUCCACUCUCGUCACGGGUCGGCCCGGCAUUGCAGUGCC
rnacentral:snRNA from 1 species